rnacentral:rRNA from 1 species
GACGAACGCUGGCGGCGUGCCUAAUACAUGCAAGUAGAACGCACAGUUUAUACCGUAGCUUGCUACACCAUAGACUGUGAGUUGCGAACGGGUGAGUAACGCGUAGGUAACCUGCCUGGUAGCGGGGGAUAACUAUUGGAAACGAUAACUAAUACCGCAUAAUAUUAAUUAUUGCAUGAUAAUUGAUUGAAAGAUGCAACUGCAUCACUACCAGAUGGCCCUGCGUUGUAUUAGCUAGUAGGUGAGGUAACGGCUCACCUAGGCGACGAUACAUAGCCGACCUGAGAGGGUGAUCGGCCACACUGGGACUGAGACACGGCCCAGACUCCUACGGGAGGCAGCAGUAGGGAAUCUUCGGCAAUGGACGAAAGUCUGACCGAGCAACGCCGCGUGAGUGAAGAAGGUUUUCGGAUCGUAAAGCUCUGUUGUAAGAGAAGAACGGGUGUGAGAGUGGAAAGUUCACACUGUGACGGUAUCUUACCAGAAAGGGACGGCUAACUACGUG